rnacentral:rRNA from 1 species
AUUGAACGCUGGCGGCAGGCUUAACACAUGCAAGUCGAGCGGGGUGAUGGUGCUUGCACUAUCACUUAGCGGCGGACGGGUGAGUAAUGCUUAGGAAUCUGCCUAUUAGUGGGGGACAACAUCUCGAAAGGGAUGCUAAUACCGCAUACGUCCUACGGGAGAAAGCAGGGGAUCACUUGUGACCUUGCGCUAAUAGAUGAGCCUAAGUCGGAUUAGCUAGUUGAUGGGGUAAAGGCCUACCAAGGCGACGAUCUGUAGCGGGUCUGAGAGGAUGAUCCGCCACACUGGGACUGAGACACGGCCCAGACUCCUACGGGAGGCAGCAGUGGGGAAUAUUGGACAAUGGGGGGAACCCUGAUCCAGCCAUGCCGCGUGUGUGAAGAAGGCCUUAUGGUUGUAACGCACUUUAAGCGAGGAGGAGGCUCUUUUGGUUAAUACCCAAGAUGAGUGGACGUUACUCGCAGAAUAAGCACCGGCUAACUCUGUGCCAGCAGCCGCAGUAA